GUCGAACGGCAGCGCGGGGCAACCUGGCGGCGAGUGGCGAACGGGUGAGUAAUAUAUCGGAACGUGCCCUGGAGUGGGGGAUAACGUAGCGAAAGUUACGCUAAUACCGCAUACGAUCUAAGGAUGAAAGUGGGGGAUCGCAAGACCUCAUGCUCGUGGAGCGGCCGAUAUCUGAUUAGCUAGUUGGUAGGGUAAAAGCCUACCAAGGCAUCGAUCAGUAGCUGGUCUGAGAGGACGACCAGCCACACUGGAACUGAGACACGGUCCAGACUCCUACGGGAGGCAGCAGUGGGGAAUUUUG
rnacentral:rRNA from 1 species